rnacentral:rRNA from 1 species
UACGUAGGGUGCGAGCGUUGUCCGGAAUUAUUGGGCGUAAAGGGCUCGUAGGCGGUUUGUCGCGUCGGGAGUGAAAACUCAGGGCUUAACCCUGAGCCUGCUUCCGAUACGGGCAGGCUAGAGUUCGGUAGGGGAGACUGGAAUUCCUGGUGUAGCGGUGAAAUGCGCAGAUAUCAGGAGGAACACCGGUGGCGAAGGCGGGUCUCUGGGCCGAUACUGACGCUGAGGAGCGAAAGCGUGGGGAGCGAACAGG